rnacentral:tRNA from 1 species
GGAGGGGUGGCCGAGCGGUUGAAGGCGCACGCCUGGAAAGUGUGUAUGGGGGAAACUCCAUCGCGGGUUCGAAUCCCGCUCCCUCCGCCA